rnacentral:lncRNA from 1 species
GACACUUCGGGUUUUUAUUUACACUUUUCUGAGGACAGAAGUACAUCCAGUUGCUUUACCCCAGAGGCUGUCUAGCUUGUGAGAAGUCUGAGCUUGGAAACAGCUCUGUCUUGGAGGCCCCAAGGCGUGGGGCACUGGCAGGGCCGCUGGGCUCGCGGACGUCCCUGCUCCAGGCUCGCCCCGGCUCCUGCAUCCGCAGAAGAGCCACUGUGCACGCCUCUCUCACAAUGAGGUUCUAAAGAUCUAAUGGGAAUACGGUUGUGAAAACACUGUGUAGACUGUAAAGGAUGAUAUAAAUAUUAGAUUGGAAAGCUGCCUUGCAUAAUAGAAAACACGGGAAAGCAUGGGAAGCAGGGGAGGUACACAUCUGGAGGGCCAAAUAUUUGCCCAGGUAUGGGGUGGGGUGGGGGGAACAUGGCUGGUUCCAGAAAAGUCUUUGUCUUCAAAUCACCCACAAACAAAGUCCGAGAAGGUAAGACAUUGGCGGAAUGACUCACACGCAGGCUUUGACAUAAUCAAACAAUGAACGAUGAGUUCAAACUGCUCUCUGGCAGUGGUUUUCUAAAUCGAAGUCAGAUGCCUUGAGGGGUUUUUGGAGAAAAGUGGUUUCUUGGGCAACAUGAUCCAUUCUGAGGGCACGCAGGAGGAGGUUCCUAAAACUAAGGUUGACAAGGACAAUCUCAGCGUCGGGAUGCUCUCCUCUAGACCCUCUGACCUUUCGAUGCCUUAAUUAUAGGUUCGGAAAACUAUGUGUUAGUGUUGAGCAUUCCCAUGGUUUUGCACCCAGACAUGGUUCCAGGAAAUGUUUCCAACUUAAAAGUUUAAGGAUGGAUAUAUGUGCGUCUGUAGUGAGAGCCUGUUUUCCUGGCCAGGCCUUUCGCUGUGAGUUUACCGCUCGUGAGAGAUUUGGGGGAUCCCGUGCCUGAGAAAUGAAACUUGAAUCUCAUUAGGUGUCAGAUUUGGGCAAGAGUGAGGGGACCCCGACUGUAUCAGAAGGCUCCACUUCAUGAAAAGGGAUUACAGAGAGCUGGGAGCAAGUGGGAGAGACCACAGUUCUGUCUGGGGGAGGGGGGAGGGGGGUAAUACAUAGGAUUUGACAAAAGUUUUUAGGGAAGAAUGAACUUUUGGGGGUUGAUUUCAGGUUCCUGGGGGGAACCAACAGUUUAAAGCCCACCCACCCCUCAACAGAGGCACAGUUUCUCUUAAGAAUAUUGCAAGACUGGGAGGGUGGAGCUGGGCGGAGGGAAUGAGAGAAGGCUCAGAUGUGGAAAUCACCCUAAGGGAAUAGAAGUUGGAAUUACAGAACUAAGCUAUUCCAGAACCAUCUAUUAUUCUGAGGCUUCCUAAAACACUAUUUACAUACAUCACCAACGUUAACACUUAAGGAGUAUCAUCUCUUGCUUGUUUCUCUCCUGAGGAAAAAAAUUCGCAAAAGUAGAAAUUAGAGUCUGAGAUUUCACUCCAGUUCUGUUCUUUUUCUCUUGAGGAUUUAUGUUCCACUGCUGUAGCCUCUCAUGGCAGGAGAGCUAGAGAAACUUUUAAAUUAAGUCAGAGAGGAGGGGCCCUGGGCGGCUCAGCGGUUGAGCGUCUGUCUUUGGCUCAGGUCGUGAUGCUGGGGUCCUGGGAUCGAGUCCUCACAGGGAGCCUGCUUCUCCCUCUGCCUGUGUCUCUGCCUCUCUCUCGAAUAGACAAAUAAAAUCUCCUUAGAAAAAAAGAAAAAAAGCCAGAGAGGAGGUUCUUCUCUGAAAAUUCCUUCUUCAUUCAGUAUU